UGAAGGCACAGCGGAACAGAUGUACCAAUCACUAUGUGUGACCUUGGGUUCACUGCCGAACCCGACUCGAGUUUAUUGUGGCCACGAGUACACAGAAAAAAACUUGAUGUUUGCAUCGACCGUUGAGCCAGAAAAUGAAAAGAUAACUCAGAAGCUUGCAUGGGCUAAACACCAACGCCAAACAAACCUGCCAACGAUUCCUUCAACCAUUGCAGAAGAAUUUGAGACAAAUCCAUUUAUACGAGUUGAUCUACCUGAGAUCCAGGCUAAGGUUGGUUGUCAUUCUCCGGUUGAAGCACUAGGAGAAAUCAGGAAGCUGAAAGAUAACUG
rnacentral:misc_RNA from 1 species